rnacentral:rRNA from 1 species
ACGAACGCUGGCGGCGUGCCUAAUCCAUGCAAGUUGAGCGAUGAAGAUUGGUGCUUGCACCCAUUUGAAGAGCAGCGAACGGGUGAGUAACGCGUGGGGAAUCUGCCUUUGAGCGGGGGACAACAUUUGGAAACGAAUGCUAAUACCGCAUAACAACUUUAAACAUAAGUUUUAAGUUUGAAAGAUGCAAUUGCAUCACUCAAAGAUGAUCCCGCGUUGUAUUAGCUAGUUGGUGAGGUAAAGGCUCACCAAGGCGAUGAUACAUAGCCGACCUGAGAGGGUGAUCGGCCACAUUGGGACUGAGACACGGCCCAAACUCCUACGGGAGGCAGCAGUAGGGAAUCUUCGGCAAUGGACGAAAGUCUGACCGAGCAACGCCGCGUGAGUGAAGAAGGUUUUCGGAUCGUAAAACUCUGUUGGUAGAGAAGAACGUUGGUGAGAGUGGAAAGCUCAUCAAGUGACGGUAACUACCCAGAAAGGGACGGCUAACUACGUG